UAUAACUUCACCAAAGCCAGUUUUCUAUGGGUGUUGUAAUAUCCAGAUAGAGCACAUGACUGAGAAAUACUGUAUAUGUUUAAAGUAGACACAGCUGUAAAGAAACAAUAGAAAAGAGACUACAAGUAUGUUGACAUCUCAGGGCUCCAAAACUGGAAAAGCUGGAAAUCUGAAGGUGGAGGUGUUGAAGGGUAGUGCAAGGAGGCUGAAGAAACCCCAAUGACACUGUGGAAAAUGUGGAAAACUGUGAAACAGUUUAGGCUGUAGCUUACUGAAGGACUAAUACAAAUGUGGGAGAAUGUUUAACUAUCUAAUUUCUUUGAAAUGAGGUCUCAUCCCGGAAAGGGAAGUCCACCAGCCUAAAGAAAGUGAAGAGAAGGAAGAGGAGAGCAGAGGUGAGGUAUGGAUAGCUUCCCUGCUUCAGAAAGAUAGAAGAUGGAGGGGAGCAUCUGCAAGAUACACAAGAAGCAAAAAAAGGCUGGUGCUGACAAGUUCACCCAAGACAAUCAAGGAUAAGUUAUUGCAAUAACAACAUAGCCCUAAAUGUGGGGCAGGGCAGAAUUACAUCACCUAAGGAGGAGCAUCUGCAAGAUUUUUUCUUCUCAAAGCACAGAUCCUAAAGUCAUUUCUCCCUGAGGAGGAAG
rnacentral:lncRNA from 1 species